ACUGCCAAUAUUGCGAUACAGAGAAAGAGAAAGGGAAAAAGGGGAAAAACCUACUCUCUUCACAUCAGUCUUCUUAACUUUUUUUCUCUCUAAAGAAAACCCUAGCCAUACUAUGAUAGAGGCGAUCUCUUCACAUCAAACUCCGCUAGGAGAAAAGAAAAGAAAAGAAAAAGACUUGCGCCACACUGGAGAUUCGAUUGAUCAUCGCUAUCCCCUUUUGAGUUUUCCAAACUCUGCGAACCAGUGGAUAUUCGUACGACCGGCCACUGCCAUACCCUGCCGGACUUAGACCAUCACAAUCGGCAUCCGUCAAAGCUAAAUACGAUCAAACGCCCCAUAGGUUUUGAGAUACGGAGUUAGAGAUUGGCGCUAUUCUGACGAAAGUUGCAGAACCUAUUCACAAUUAUGGGGUGCUAAUGUUGGAUGGCACAAUGGCAAAACAAUAAGCCACAUAGAGCAAAUGGACGGAAGUCUAUAUACUUAAGGGUGGCCGAUGCAAUAAUAGAUUUGCCACGAAGUGUUCAUAAAAGAAAUGUUCAACCUGUGUUGAUGCAAAGGAUAACUUCCACUCUUUUAAGUUUAUAAAAUUUUAUAUGUAUUACUUUUGUGAUCUAUUGCCUUUAUGAAAUUGUAGAUAUGUUUCUGCAAAGUGGUUUAAAAUGUGACAAAAUGUAUUGUUUUAAAUGUUGUAAACUAAACAAAAAAUGAGAAACCUUUAAAUAUUUGAAUUCUUAUUUUCAAAUAUGCCUUAGUGUUU